CGGGCGGCCGUGACCCUGCUGGAGUGCGGGGGGGACCUCCAGCCCCCCGGGGGGUCCCUGCGCCUCCUCUGCCGAGGGGCCGGGUUCGAUUUUGGACAAUUUGGGAUGGGCUGGAUGCGCCAACGACCCGGGCAGGGGCUGGAAUUCGUCGCAGGGAUCACCAGCACUGGUGACAACGCCGGCUACGUGGAUUCAGUCAGGGGCCGGUUCACGAUCUCCAGGGACAACGGGCAGAGCUCGGUGACGCUGACCAUGAACAGCCUCAAGGACGAGGAUUCCGGAUCCUAUUUCUGCGCCAUACCUUAUUCUCUGAAUUUCAUCCCAAACCUCUCAUCUUGA